rnacentral:rRNA from 1 species
AUUGAACGCUGGCGGCAGGCUUAACACAUGCAAGUCGAACGAGUGGCGGACGGGUGAGUAAUGUCUGGGAAACUGCCCGAUGGAGGGGGAUAACUACUGGAAACGGCAGCUAAUACCGCAUACCAUCAGAUGUGUCCAGAUGGGUUUAGCUUGUUGGUGGGGUAACGGCUCACCAGGGCGACGAUCCCUAGCUGGUCUGAGAGGAUGCCCAGCCACACUGGAACGUGGACGCUGUCCAGAGUCCUACGAGAGGCAGCAGUGGGUAAUUGUGGACAGUGGGCGCAAGCCUGAUACAGCCAUGCCGCGUGUGUGAUGAAGGCCUUCGGGUUGUAAAGUACUUUCGGCGGGGGUGCGUUACCCGCAGAAGAAGCACCGGCUAACUCCGUGCCAGCAGCCGCGGUAAUAC